GCACCCCCCGAUUUGAGAGGAAUAGUGGUUGUUAGUGCUGCUGUUGAAUUCUGUUUACAUUUACAUUGGUGAAAUAUUAUGUUAUUUAUGUUAUUAAAUAUUUUACCACAUUUUUUUGCUUCAAAGUUUUUUCCUAUU